rnacentral:rRNA from 1 species
AUUGAACGCUGGCGGCAGGCUUAACACAUGCAAGUCGAGCGAGCGGCGGACGGGUGAGUAAUGUCUGGGAACCUGCCCGAUGGAGGGGGAUAACUACUGGAAACGGUAGCUAAUACCGCAUACCAUCGGAUGUGCCCAGAUGGGAUUAGCUAGUAGGUGGGGUAAUGGCUCACCUAGGCGACGAUCCCUAGCUGGUCUGAGAGGAUGCACAGCCACACUGGAACUGAGACACGGCCCAGACUCCUACGGGAGGCAGCAGUGGGGAAUAUGGCACAAUGGGCGCAAGCCUGAUGCAGCCAUGCCGCGUGUGUGAAGAAGGCCUUAGGGUUGUAAAGCACUUUCAGCGAGGAGGCGUUACUCGCAGAAGAAGCACCGGCUAACUCCGUGCCAGCAGCCGCGGUAAUUC